rnacentral:rRNA from 1 species
UACGAAGGGGGCGAGUGUUGUUCGGAUUUACUGGGCGUAAAGGGCGCGUAGGCGGGUCCGCAAGUCGAUCGUGAAAUCCUUCGGCUCAACUGAAGGGGGUCGGUCGAUACUGCGGGUCUUGAGGGAUGCAGAGGAGACUGGAAUUCCCGGUGUAGCGGUGAAAUGUGUAGAGAUCGGGAGGAACACCGGUGGCGAAGGCGGGUCUCUGGGCAUCUCCUGACGCUGAGGCGCGAAAGCGUGGGGAGCAAACGGG